rnacentral:rRNA from 1 species
GACGAACGCUGGCGGCGUGCUUAACACAUGCAAGUCGAACGAAGUGGCGAACGGGUGAGUAACGCGUAAUCAACCUGCCCUUCAGUGGGGGACAACAGUUGGAAACGACUGCAAAUACCGCACACUGAUUGAGGGGUUUGCGUCGGAUUGGCUUGUUGGAGGGGUAACGGCCCACCAAGGCGAUGAUCAGUAGCCGGUCUGAGAGGAUGAACGGCAACAUUGGGACUGAGACACGGCCCAGACUCCUACGGGAGGCAGCAGUGGGGAAUCUUCGGCAAUGGACGAAAGUCUGACGGAGCAACGCCGCGUGAGUGAUGACGGCCUUCGGGUUGUAAAGCUCUGUUAAUCGGGACGCGGUACCGGAAUAGAAAGCCACGGCUAACUACGUGCCAGCAGCCGCGGUAAUAC